rnacentral:rRNA from 1 species
GGUUAAGCGACUAAGCGUACACGGUGGAUGCCCUGGCAGUCAGAGGCGAUGAAGGACGUGCUAAUCUGCGAUAAGCGCCGGUAAGGUGAUAUGAACCGUUAUAACCGGCGAUUUCCGAAUGGGGAAACCCAGUGUGACUCGUCACACUAUCAUUAACUGAAUCCAUAGGUUAAUGAGGCGAACCGGGGGAACUGAAACAUCUAAGUACCCCGAGGAAAAGAAAUCAACCGAGAUUCCCCCAGUAGCGGCGAGCGAACGGGGAGGAGCCCAGAGCCUGAAUCAGCAUGUGUGUUAGUGGAAGCGUCUGGAAAGGCGCGCGAUACAGGGUGACAGCCCCGUACACAAAAGCGCAUGUGCUGUGAGCUCGAUGAGUAGGGCGGGACACGUGGUAUCCUGUCUGAAUAUGGGGGGACCAUCCUCCAAGGCUAAAUACUCCUGACUGACCGAUAGUGAACCAGUACCGUGAGGGAAAGGCGAAAAGAACCCCGGCGAGGGGAGUGAAAAAGAACCUGAAACCGUGUACGUACAAGCAGUGGGAGCCCCACCACCAAAGCAUUCUAUGGUGUUGAAGGCCCUGCAAAGCAGCAUCGCGGUGGCGGAGCGUCGUUUGCGACGCCCAACACACAAAACAAGCGGUGAGUGCUUUGGGGUGGGGUGACUGCGUACCUUUUGUAUAAUGGGUCAGCGACUUAUAUUCUGUAGCAAGGUUAACCGAAUAGGGGAGCCGGAGGGAAACCGAGUCUUAAUUGGGCGUUAAGUUGCAGGGUAUAGACCCGAAACCCGGUGAUCUAGCCAUGGGCAGGUUGAAGGUUGGGUAACACUAACUGGAGGACCGAACCGACUAAUGUUGAAAAAUUAGCGGAUGACCUGUGGCUGGGGGUGAAAGGCCAAUCAAACCGGGAGAUAGCUGGUUCUCCCCGAAAGCUAUUUAGGUAGCGCCUCGUGAAUUCAUCUCCGGGGGUAGAGCACUGUUUCGGCUAGGGGGCCAUCCCGGCUUACCAACCCGAUGCAAACUGCGAAUACCGGAGAAUGUUAUCACGGGAGACACACGGCGGGUGCUAACGUCCGUCGUGAAGAGGGAAACAACCCAGACCGCCAGCUAAGGUCCCAAAGUCAUGGUUAAGUGGGAAACGAUGUGGGAAGGCCCAGACAGCCAGGAUGUUGGCUUAGAAGCAGCCAUCAUUUAAAGAAAGCGUAAUAGCUCACUGGUCGAGUCGGCCUGCGCGGAAGAUGUAACGGGGCUAAACCAUGCACCGAAGCUGCGGCAGCGACACUAUGUGUUGUUGGGUAGGGGAGCGUUCUGUAAGCCUGUGAAGGUGUGUCGUGAGGCAUGCUGGAGGUAUCAGAAGUGCGAAUGCUGACAUAAGUAACGAUAAAGCGGGUGAAAAGCCCGCUCGCCGGAAGACCAAGGGUUCCUGUCCAACGUUAAUCGGGGCAGGGUGAGUCGACCCCUAAGGCGAGGCCGAAAGGCGUAGUCGAUGGGAAACGGGUUAAUAUUCCCGUACUUGGUGUUACUGCGAAGGGGGGACGGAGAAGGCUAUGUUGGCCGGGCGACGGUUGUCCCGGUUUAAGCGUGUAGGUGUGUGUUCCAGGUAAAUCCGGUUCACUUUAACACUGAGGCGUGACGACGAGGCACUACGGUGCUGAAGCAACAAAUGCCCUGCUUCCAGGAAAAGCCUCUAAGCAUCAGGUAACAUCAAAUCGUACCCCAAACCGACACAGGUGGUCAGGUAGAGAAUACCAAGGCGCUUGAGAGAACUCGGGUGAAGGAACUAGGCAAAAUGGUGCCGUAACUUCGGGAGAAGGCACGCUGACACGUAGGUGAAGUGAUUUACUCAUGGAGCUGAAGUCAGUCGAAGAUACCAGCUGGCUGCAACUGUUUAUUAAAAACACAGCACUGUGCAAACACGAAAGUGGACGUAUACGGUGUGACGCCUGCCCGGUGCCGGAAGGUUAAUUGAUGGGGUCAGCGCAAGCGAAGCUCCUGAUCGAAGCCCCGGUAAACGGCGGCCGUAACUAUAACGGUCCUAAGGUAGCGAAAUUCCUUGUCGGGUAAGUUCCGACCUGCACGAAUGGCGUAAUGAUGGCCAGGCUGUCUCCACCCGAGACUCAGUGAAAUUGAACUCGCUGUGAAGAUGCAGUGUACCCGCGGCAAGACGGAAAGACCCCGUGAACCUUUACUAUAGCUUGACACUGAACAUUGAGCCUUGAUGUGUAGGAUAGGUGGGAGGCUUUGAAGUGUGGACGCCAGUCUGCAUGGAGCCGACCUUGAAAUACCACCCUUUAAUGUUUGAUGUUCUAACGUGGACCCGUAAUCCGGGUUGCGGACAGUGUCUGGUGGGUAGUUUGACUGGGGCGGUCUCCUCCUAAAGAGUAACGGAGGAGCACGAAGGUUGGCUAAUCCUGGUCGGACAUCAGGAGGUUAGUGCAAUGGCAUAAGCCAGCUUGACUGCGAGCGUGACGGCGCGAGCAGGUGCGAAAGCAGGUCAUAGUGAUCCGGUGGUUCUGAAUGGAAGGGCCAUCGCUCAACGGAUAAAAGGUACUCCGGGGAUAACAGGCUGAUACCGCCCAAGAGUUCAUAUCGACGGCGGUGUUUGGCACCUCGAUGUCGGCUCAUCACAUCCUGGGGCUGAAGUAGGUCCCAAGGGUAUGGCUGUUCGCCAUUUAAAGUGGUACGCGAGCUGGGUUUAGAACGUCGUGAGACAGUUCGGUCCCUAUCUGCCGUGGGCGCUGGAGAACUGAGGGGGGCUGCUCCUAGUACGAGAGGACCGGAGUGGACGCAUCACUGGUGUUCGGGUUGUCAUGCCAAUGGCACUGCCCGGUAGCUAAAUGCGGAAGAGAUAAGUGCUGAAAGCAUCUAAGCACGAAACUUGCCCCGAGAUGAGUUCUCCCUGAGACUUUAGGUCUCCUGAAGGAACGUUGAAGACGACGACGUUGAUAGGCCGGGUGUGUAAGCGCAGCGAUGCGUUGAGCUAACCGGUACUAAUGAACCGUGAGGCUUAACCUU